GUUGAAGGCCCAUGUCGAGGUUCCCCGCUUCAGGCGUGACGGCGGGGCUAAGACGGGAAGCCGGUGGCGCUCUUGCCGAGCGGAGUCCGGCGCUGCCCCCGCAACUGUAAGCGGUGAGCGGCGGUCCCACUUGGUGUCACUGAGCCUCACGCAUGAGGCUUAGGAAGGCCGGGACCACUGCGUCGACCCGUGAGCCAGGAGACCUGCCUUUCGACGCCAUAACGU
rnacentral:ncRNA from 1 species